rnacentral:rRNA from 1 species
UACGUAGGGUGCAAGCGUUAAUCGGAAUUACUGGGCGUAAAGCGUGCGCAGGCGGUUUUGUAAGUCUGUCGUGAAAUCCCCGGGCUCAACCUGGGAAUUGCGAUGGAGACUGCAAGGCUAGAAUCUGGCAGAGGGGGGUAGAAUUCCACGUGUAGCAGUGAAAUGCGUAGAGAUGUGGAGGAACACCGAUGGCGAAGGCAGCCCCCUGGGUCAAGAUUGACGCUACAUGCACGAAAGGCGUGGGGAGCAAA